AGUAAGCUGUUGAAAAUAGUCCAGCAUGCAAAUGAAUAUACCAUAGUUAUCGGACAUAAAUUGAAAUUCUUUUGUCAUACUAUGCAACCGAUGUACUGAUUUAUAUCCAAAAAUUUUGGCACGGCGAUCGCGAGUCAAAAAAGGAUACACACACACUGUCACACACAUGCAUUUAGCGUAUUUUCCACCAGAAAUUGAAUUCGGCGUAAUUGACAACUGGCGUAGAAAGCGUAAACUAAGCGUAAGUUUUAUAGUAACUUCUAUAAAAUUACUAGAUUACGCAGGUUACGCUUACGCAAGUUACGCUCCAUGUAACGGCACCCUUACUUAGAGCAUAUAUAAUGGAGGAGGAAUUGCCCAUAUCUCCCCUACUACGAAUGUCAGGCAAACAUCUGUGCGAGAGAGAAAGGUAUAAAGUUCUAUUCGUCCACUGUGCGUAUGCGUUUCUGACUGCGCAUCCAAGCUGUACAUCCACAUAACCUUCAAGUUUGCUUCAAGCCCCUAUUUAUAGCCCGUAUCGUCUGCUAACGCAUGCGCAUAAAAACACGUAGGACACUUAUAUGUUUCUCUUUCAUACACAUAGGGAUUUAUAUCUUUCUCACUCGCACAGAUCUUUCACUCACUUGCCAGUCGCCAAUUCCUCCUCCAUAUAUGCUCUAAGUUGCGUUACCGCGUCCUGUGGGCAUGAGCCCUAAAGCGAGGUCUACAAUGAAAAUUUAGGGUAUAAAAUGUAAGCUUUAUUGACCAAUCAUAGUCGACUUUUUCUUUCACAUUCGACUGUGAUUGAUCAAUUUCUUACAGCUUGAAAUUGAAGCUUAAAUUUUAUAUCUCAAAUUCUCAUUGUAGAACCCGCUUUAGGCCGGUAUUCAUAGGGUGCUUUCCAUUAUUGACUCAGGUCGACACUGGAAUGCGUACAGCUCUACUGAUUAGCGGUCAGAAAUGUGAGACUGCGAUAGCUGUCGCUUCUCAGAUCUGUCCUUGUCUAUCUAACUACGUCAACCACGUGACCAGGGAUACGGUCCAAGUCACGAUUCGAAGCGUUUCUAGACACUUUCUAUCUUCUUCUCAUUUGACAGAAGGAAAAAGAUGGAAAGUGUCUAGAAGCGCUUCGAAGCGUGACUUGAACCGUACUCCAGAUGGAUUACCCGUUCUAAACCCAUUUACCACAUGGAAGUUAAUUGCUUUUUUAUAUUAAACUAUUGUAUGUUAGAAAGAAAAUCACUAAAAAAUGAUGAAAAUAUUAAAACUGUAUACAUUUUUUUUAUGAUUCCAUAUAAUAGAUAAUGAUCAGUCAUGGUAGUUCACAAUAAAAAGAGACAGCUCUGAAACGCUGCAGCUAUCCUUUAGUGGUCGCGAUAGUAAUGGAGGAGGAAAAGAUACUUUUGUACUACCAGUCGCGCGGCUCAACGCAGUUUGCCCGCCCGAGGUGACCGGCCGCGGCAGUGUGGGACUCCCCGAGGACCCAUGCUGGUACCAGCAGUUCUACCCACUAAAAAAAUCCCCUCAGGACACCUCCGUGCACGUAGAGGCCUGCCGGCGCACUACAUUGUAGUAUUCAAAUCCCAGCAGACCCCUAUUCAUGUAUGGGUUUAACCCCAGUCCCAACAAGAACUACCCUCAAGAGCUACCCUCGACCUCAGCCGGAUCCAUUACUCUUUCAACCACACUCACAUACGAUCUCAACACACACCAACACGACACAAAGUCAAUGCGGCAAGCCACAAUCGUUCAUAUUAAAACACAC